rnacentral:rRNA from 1 species
GAUGAACGCUGGCGGCGUGCUUAACACAUGCAAGUCGAACGAAGCCCUCUGUUUGAUUUCCUUCGGGGCUGAUUAUUUUGUGACUGAGUGGCGGACGGUUGAGUAACGCGUGGGUAACCUGCCUUGUACAGGGGUAUAACAGUUGGAAACGGCUGCUAAUACCGCAUAAGCGCACAGCAUCGCAUUAUGCAGUUUGAAAAACUCCGGUGGACUAAGAUGGGCCCGCGUUGGAUUAGCUAGUUGGUGAGGUAACGGCCUACCAAGGCGACGAUCCAUAGCCGAUCUGAGAGGAUGACCAGCCACACUGGGACUGAGACACGGCCCAGACUCCUACGGGAGGCAGCAGUGGGGAAUAUUGGACAAUGGGCGAAAGCCUGAUGCAGCGACGCCGCGUGAGCGAUGAAGUAUUUAGGUAUGUAAAGCUCUAUUAGCAGGGAAGAUAAUGACGGUACCGGAAGAAGAAGCACCGGCUAAAUACGUG